GUAGGGAAUAUUGGGCAAUGGAGGCAACUCUGACCCAGCCAUGCCGCGUGCAGGAUGACGGCCCUCUGGGUUGUAAACUGCUUUUAUACGGGAAGAAAAAAUACUACGUGUAGUAUACUGACGGUACCGUAAGAAUAAGGAUCGGCUAACUCCGUGCCAGCAGCCGCGGUAAUACGGAGGAUCCAAGCGGUGUCCGGACUUAUUGGGUUUAAAGGGUGCGUAGGCGGAUCUUUAAGUCAGUGGUGAAAGCCUGCAGCUUAACUGUAGAAUUGCCAGUGAAACUGAAGAUCUUGAAUGUGGUUAAAGUAGGCGGAAUGUAUCAUGUAGCGGUGAAAUGCUUAGAUAUGAUACAGAACACCGAUAGCGAAGGCAGCUUGCUGAACCAUUAUUGACGCUGAGGCACGAAAGCGUGGGGAGCGAACAGGAUUAGAUACCCGUGUAGUCC
rnacentral:rRNA from 1 species